rnacentral:tRNA from 1 species
GGUUGUGGCUCAGUGGUAGAGUGCUUGCCUAGCAUGCAUGAGGCACUGGGUUCGAUCCCUGGCACCA